rnacentral:tRNA from 1 species
GUCCUUGUCGAUUAGUGGUUAGAUCAUCACGUUGUGGUUUAUGUUGACCUGAUCCGUGAAGACGGAGGCUCGAAUCCUCCCUGGGACA